rnacentral:rRNA from 1 species
GAUGAACGCUGGCGGCGUGCCUAAUACAUGCAAGUCGAGCGAACGGACGAGAAGCUUGCUUCUCUGAUGUUAGCGGCGGACGGGUGAGUAACACGUGGAUAACCUACCUAUAAGACUGGGAUAACUUCGGGAAACCGGAGCUAAUACCGGAUAAUAUUUUGAACCGCAUGGUUCAAAAGUGAAAGACGGUCUUGCUGUCACUUAUAGAUGGAUCCGCGCUGCAUUAGCUAGUUGGUAAGGUAACGGCUUACCAAGGCAACGAUGCAUAGCCGACCUGAGAGGGUGAUCGGCCACACUGGAACUGAGACACGGUCCAGACUCCUACGGGAGGCAGCAGUAGGGAAUCUUCCGCAAUGGGCGAAAGCCUGACGGAGCAACGCCGCGUGAGUGAUGAAGGUCUUCGGAUCGUAAAACUCUGUUAUUAGGGAAGAACAUAUGUGUAAGUAACUGUGCACAUCUUGACGGUACCUAAUCAGAAAGCCACGGCUAACUACGUGCCAGCAGCCGCGGUAAUACGUAGGUGGCAAGCGUUAUCCGGAAUUAUUGGGCGUAAAGCGCGCGUAGGCGGUUUUUUAAGUCUGAUGUGAAAGCCCACGGCUCAACCGUGGAGGGUCAUUGGAAACUGGAAAACUUGAGUGCAGAAGAGGAAAGUGGAAUUCCAUGCGUAGCGGUGAAAUGCGCAGAGAUAUGGAGGAACACCAGUGGCGAAGGCGACUUUCUGGUCUGUAACUGACGCUGAUGUGCGAAAGCGUGGGGAUCAAACAGGAUUAGAUACCCUGGUAGUCCACGCCGUAAACGAUGAGUGCUAAGUGUUAGGGGGUUUCCGCCCCUUAGUGCUGCAGCUAACGCAUUAAGCACUCCGCCUGGGGAGUACGACCGCAAGGUUGAAACUCAGAGGAAUUGACGGGGACCCGCACAAGCGGUGGAGCAUGUGGUUUAAUUCGAAGCAACGCGAAGAACCUUACCAAAUCUUGACAUCCUUUGACAACUCUAGAGAUAGAGCUUUCCCCUUCGGGGGACAAAGUGACAGGUGGUGCAUGGUUGUCGUCAGCUCGUGUCGUGAGAUGUUGGGUUAAGUCCCGCAACGAGCGCAACCCUUAAGCUUAGUUGCCAUCAUUAAGUUGGGCACUCUAAGUUGACUGCCGGUGACAAACCGGAGGAAGGUGGGGAUGACGUCAAAUCAUCAUGCCCCUUAUGAUUUGGGCUACACACGUGCUACAAUGGACAAUACAAAGGGCAGCGAAACCGCGAGGUCAAGCAAAUCCCAUAAAGUUGUUCUCAGUUCGGAUUGUAGUCUGCAACUCGACUACAUGAAGCUGGAAUCGCUAGUAAUCGUAGAUCAGCAUGCUACGGUGAAUACGUUCCCGGGUCU